rnacentral:rRNA from 1 species
AUACGGAAGGUCCGGGCGUUAUCCGGAUUUAUUGGGUUUAAAGGGAGCGCAGGCGGAGAUGCAAGCGUGACGUCAAAUUUCGGGGCUCAACCCCGUCUCGCGUCGCGAACUGCGUCCCUUGGUUGCGGGAAGGGGAGGCGGAACUCGUGGUGUAGCGGGGAAAUGCAUAGAUAUCACGAAGAACUCCGAUCGCGAAGGCAGCCUUCCGGCCCGUCAACGACGCUCAUGCUCGAAGGUGCGGGUAUCAAACAGGAUUAGAUACCCUGGUAGUCCGCACAGUAAACGAUGGACACCCGCGGUUUGGCCUGUAUGGCUGAGCCGCCAAGCGAAAGCGUUAAGUGUCCCACCUGGGGAGUACGCCGACAACGGUGAAACUCAAAGGAAUUGACGGGG